UUUUUUUUCUAAAAAGUACGGGAGUGUUGGUACAGUGGAUGUCCUGAAUUAGUGCCUUUCCCUGCUCGAUCGGGAUGUAGCGCUAGAGGAUGCCGGUGUGGCUCCGCUUGUAGAGCUCCUGGUCGAUGAUGAUGAAGGAUUUGGCGCGGCGCGCAAUCCUACGUGCCUCCGUCUUGUUCGCCGGGAGCGUGUCGCGGACGAGGUAGUCGAGGUACGGGGUUCUCUAGUCAGGCGGGAGGUCGGGCUCCGCUGCUGGGUCUGCAUCGAUCUCCAUGAUCUCGGGGUCGGAAGGGUCGGCCUCCGACCCUUGGGCAGGUGGGGCGUCGCCGACCUCGUCUGGGUCGGUACCCGAGCCCGGGACAGGUGGCGCGUUGCUGACCUCUCCUGGGUCAGGACUCGGGUUCGGGGCAGGUGGGGCGUUGCUGUCCCUCCCUGGCUCCUGGUACCGGAUUGAGGCUUGAAUUGGUCGCUCAUGAAGACGCCGUCGGGUAUGGGCUUUCGGCCGAACGCCGCCUUUGCUAGUUCGUCAGCCGCCUCGUUGAAGCGCCUUACGACAUGGUUGAGCUCUAGCCCGUCGAACUUGUCUUCGAGCUUACGGACUUUGUUGCAGUAGGCCGCCAUCUUGGGGUCGUGGCAGGUUCACUAUUUCAUGACUUGUUCAACGACUAGCUGAGAGUCGCCUCGGAUGUCUAGCCGCCGGAUGCCCAGUUCGAUGGCGAUGCGAAGCCCGUUGAGGAGGGCUUCGUACUCGGCGACAUUAUUUGAUGCAGGAAAAUGGAGGCGGAUCAUGUACCUCAUGCGUACGCCGAGAGGAGAGACGAAGACUAGGCCCGCUCCGGCGCGAGCCUUCAUCAGCGACCCGUCGAAGUACAUCGUCCAGUACUCCUGGAUCACUUCGUCGAGGGGGAAUGUCGACACGACCGUCACCGGGUGGGAGGUGAAGUAGUGGCGAAGCUUCCUCUUCAUGAUGAGGACGGCGUAGAUGGGCUUCUGGAUCUGCGGAUAGCGCGCCUUGGAUUCGGACAAGACCUCACUGAUGAAGUAUACCGGGCGCUGCACCUUGAGGGCAUGUCCCUCUUCCUCUCGCUCUACCUACCUGUACCAACUAGAACGUGAGCUUCUUCUUUUUUUCUCGAGACUAGUCCAAGUUCCUUGAUAAGCACAUACCUAACUGUACCAACACUCCCAUACUUUUUAGAAAAAAAAUAAAAUGUAGAAAAAAAGAUUCAACAUAUAUAUGUUGAAUCUUUUUUUCUACAUUUUAUUUUUUUUCUAAAAAAAGAAGCCCACGUUCUAAAAAAGAAGCUCCCGUGCUUUUUAGAAAAAAAAAAUAAAAUGUAGAAAAAAAAUUCAACAUAGGGAUUUUAACUCAGGUUUUUGGGAUAAGAAGCUCACGUCCUAACUAAUUGAACUAGCUUCGUCCUAACUAAUUGAACUAGAGCAUAGUUUGUUGCACACUACUCGGAAUAAUUAUACUUGUUUCGUUCGAAAUGCCAGGAGGCAUGGGGUAAAUUGCUCGGCGCCAAGACCGACGGCGCCAAGCUUGGCGCCAAGAUCCACGGCGUCAAGGCUUGGCGCCAAGCUCCCGCCACGUCGGCAUCCGCGUCAGCAGCUGCGCAUGGACCUUGGCGCCAGGAUGGCUGGCGUCGAGACAUGUAAGCUGGGUGCCAGCGUGGAUGGCGUCAAGCUAAGAGUCUAUUUUUGGAAUUGGUUCCGCCAGGAACGUAUUUGUGAGAAUCUUUUGCAAAAAGGGGCUAAAAACAAAAAAAGUUGGCAGAACGUGUAAGUGUGAUGAUGAGAUUUAGCAUGGUUGUAGUUUGCACGGCAGGUUUUUAGAACGCCGACCAAAUAAAGGUAGACGAAACUGCAAUUUAGUCACGGCUUCGUAAGUGUGUGUGUGAUGAGAAUCUUUCUUGGAUCACACUAGGCAGAACCUUUUCUCACCGGCCUCGGCGGUUGCAUGACGUGAACCUGAGAAAAACUGAAUCGUGUGAUGCCACCAGCAAGAUAGUGUAAGAGCAUGGUUAGCUCGAUUUUACGUAAUUGAAGCUGGAGGUUGACUUUUGUUAGCACUUCAAAAAACAAGAUCCCAAGUGUUUAUUCUAAACACCUUUUUGAAUAAUGCUGUUGUGUAUAAUUGAUUACGGAAAUACAAACAAGAUCCAACAUUAUUUUUUUUUCCUUUUGCGAGUUGGAUCCAUUAUGAACAUAUUUUACAUGCUUUAAGAAGUUCAAUACUUUUGAGUUAUCAUUUCAAUUACUCAAUAAGCAACAUAAAUGAUAAAAGUAGGAUAUAUGACAAAAAUUGUUGAAAUAGAUCAUGGAAUUUUUUGGGUACUGUUUUUAAUGUUGAAUUAGGUCUUCAUAGUAUUGAAUUAUUUUUUUGCACAUAUAUUUAAAUAAGUCUCUAUAUUUGUUGAGUACGUAUGAAAGAUAAAAACAAUAUUAAACUUAAUUACAGCGAUUAGUUGUGCACUUUUUAAAUAAUAAUGGAGGAUUUAACCAGAAGAAAAAAUGCGAAUGAGAAAAAGAAAAGUAUUAGUUACGUGGCCCCAAUGGGCCGACUGACAUGUCGUUCCCGUUGGUCCGCGCCCAAUCUGGGCGAUCCCUCACUUGGGCCCAUCUUUUCACAGUGGGCCCUGGCCGAAGCGGCAAAGCCCGCCCUUUCUUCUCCCGCCCCCACACUAUUUUGGCGCCAAAGGAUCCCAGUUUUUGCCGCCAAAACCCGCCGCCGCCUCUUGUUCUCCCUCCCUCCCUCCCUCCUCUCCUCUCUCCCUCCGUCUCACAACCCCACCCAGACGCGGACACCCGAGGCGCGCGCGCGCGUGCGGAGGCAGACACCAUGUCGGGCCACCGUAUCCCCGCCGCCGCGCGCCUCGGCGGCAUCACCUCCCGCCGCCACGCGGAGCUCCUCCUCCACAGCGGCAUUGGCGACGUCUCCGUCAAGGAUCUCCGCCUCCGCCGCGUCGUCCCGCCCGCCUCCGGCUCCCUCGACUCCUCCCCCGUGUGCGCUGCGCCCGUGAAGCCCGGAUCUGUCGAGAGCACGCCACCGGAGGCCGCAUCGGCCGUGGCGGUGGCCGAAGACCUCGACCGGAAGCCGGUAAGUCAGCGCCUGUUUCUUCAUCUGGCCGGGGUCCGUGCCUACUUGCAUUGCUUCUCUGUGAUUCCUGCAUCUGAUCACUGUCCUGGUUCCCCCUCUGGGUCAGGUGCUCCCGCGGUCCAAGCUCGUGCGCGACCCCGGCUCGUUCGGCUACCGGCGGCUGCUGCCUUUCCUCAACGAGAUGGCUAAGAACGGUAACGCCCUCUCCAACCCCAACUCCCAGCAGAUUUAUCUUCUUAUUGUGGUCCGGUUCCCAUUACUUGUUCAGUUGUUCUUAUGCCAUCUCCUGGCUCGUGCGUAUGUGUUUGCGUGGUUCAGACAGCUCCAUCGGCAGAUCUGACUCUCCGUUGGUUGAUGCGCCUUUGGGUGAGAUUCGCUGCGAAUCUGAUGCCAUGGAUUCUGUAGAGCCGGUGGUGGCGAAGACUGGAGGAGACCCCGAGGUGAAGGAUGGCUGCAACAAUGUCACCGAAGAGGCCAACACUGUCCCUCAUGACCUUGCAAGCAGCAAGCCGGUGAGUUUGCUGUUACCGCGUCUCAGAUAGUCCUGUUAGCAGUCCACGAACCUUGUCCAGAACUUCAGAUUAAUCCAGUUUGCCGUAUGAAACUAAUGGAGAGUGUGAUUGUGUGUUUCAGUGGCUUGCCCGGUGCACGAGGUCGAGAUUUUUUCGUCAUCCGAGCUCGUUCAGCUACAAAAGGAUGCUGCCAUUUCUCAUGGAGAAUGGUACGGUGACUGCUUGGUUCAGUUCAUCAUGAUUAAGUGGUGCCUUUUUUAGAGUUCUAUUUUUUUAUAAUGUGCUAUUUUGCCUUGCUGUCUCAGAAAUCUCUUCUCAGGAAGGGGAAAGGGUCAAAAUUCGAAGAGUCGCAGAUGAAAGGAUACUAGCGUCAGAUGAGAAUGGCGUCUCAGCCAGUGGGCAGCAGCAUCUUGUCGUCUCUGAUGACUCUUCUCAGGAAUGCAACAGAGCUCAAGUUGACAGAAUGGAGGAAGAAGAGACACCAAAAGCUGAUGAAAAUCAUGUUCUUGAUGACAGGCAGCCUCAACCUGCUGUUACAAAAGCCUCUCCUCCAGAGUGCAAUGCAGCAGAAGGGCAAAAUGUCAUGCAGCAAGAGGCUUUGACUACAAGUCAAGACCCACUAACUUCUUCUGAGGGUGAUUUAACAUCAGAUGGGGAUGUUGUCCAGGCAAGUGGUCAUCAUCAUAUUGUUGUAUCAGAGGAUUCUCCAGAGGAAUGCCAAAGAGAUGAAGUCAAAAGAAGUGUACAAGAUGAAGCAGUAAAAUCCGAUUGGAGCCAUGUUCUGGAUAGCAGAGAAUUUCAGCCUGCUGUAUCAGAAGUCUUUCCUUCGAAGAACAGCGUGGCUGAAGUGCAAAAGGCCACACAAGAAGAAUCAUUACCUUCAGAUGGAGAUGAGGAAAAUUCAAACAAGGGUGACCAUCUUGCCAAAGAGCAGCCUCAGCCCUGUGUCACAAAGGAGUCCUUGACUGCACAACCGCAUGAUAGUGCUGAAAUCACUGAAGUACCGCAGUGCCAAAACAAAGACGCAGGAUCUCAUGAUGCUGGUUUUGUUAGCCCUACCAAGACUGUGAUACCAUUGUUGCAUCGGCAUUGUGCACAGCCUGAGGAUUCUGUAACUUCUGUUGAUGAUCAGCUUCGUGACAGUGAUGUACAAAUGAUCUGCAGGCCUUCUGAUCCUUGUGCUGUUGACAGAUCAUUGUCAGUAGAGGAAAUGUCUGGAUGUAUUCCGCUCACUGAAUCAGGAUGCAAAGCAGGCAUAUCCCGGCCAAGAGGUCUCCAUUCUACGGAAAAAAGAGGUUUUUCUCCUAAGAAGCUUUCUCCAAAGAAAGGAAUACUUAAGAGGCACACUAGGGGGUGCAAGGGCAUCUGCAUGUGCUUAGACUGCUGUACGUUUCGUCUACGUGCUGACCGAGCUUUUGAGUUCUCUAGGAAGCAGAUGCAAGAAGCAGAUGAUAUAAUAUGUAACUUAUUGAAGGAGGUAGCAAGCCUUAGGAGUCUGGUGGAGAAGCCUGCUGGCCAAGUAAGCAUAAUUACUUGCAUUUCACCCUUUGCUUCUUUUCCUUAUCAUAAAGUUCUGUACUUAGAAAUGCUAUUCAUGCUUUACUAGUACGACCAGUUUUGCAUCACUCGUGCGGUAUCAUCUAACCUGAAUAUUGAAGGUCAGGAUAAGCAUCUUCUAGAAUAUGUUAUAUUAUAAUUUGUUUGAGAGAAAAUGUUAUAUUAGAAUUCUGCAUCUAUGGAGUUUUCUAUCAUGGACUAGCAUCUGCAUAUUUUAGACAGUAAGAAAGCUUAGCUGUAGAAAUAUAUCUGAAUCUAUGCAUCCAACAAUCCUACAAAUACAAGGAUGCAUUCCAUACCAGAAAUUCAUAGCCAGAACUGUUCCAAUAAUGUCAAUAAUUCACUGAUCAUAACUCAUCAUUGGUCACUGGAACUAAGCUUGCUGGUCACUGAUCAGUGUAGACAUUAGAAAAGUCGAUGUCAACCAUACUGUAGCUGAUACAACAACACUAAUUCGUCGCUACCCACACACGUAUUGUAAAACCUAUGGCCUAGCUGCACUGCUGCAGUCUUCAAAUCAUAUAUAUUUGUGGUUUGUAUUAGUCAUGUAUGAGCUCUAAGUAAUCCUAGGGAAAAAAUUCUAAUUGUUUGUAAUUUGUGAGCACGAACUAUUUCCAUUUGAUAAUCGAGUUUAACUUGGACGAAUGAAAUGACUUAUGCUGUCAAGUGACUGGAAGGGGUACAACUUUGGCCUGUCCUCGGCUUUCCAUUUCCUUAACCAUUAUUGAUUUGCACUUUUUAGUGUUUUCUUGUUUGAAGAUGUCUGCUCACUUGCAUACCAGUUUUAUAUUCACCACACAUUCAAAGUUUACAAAAUCCUUGAAUUCUUAUCCUUGUUUGAAAUUGCAGCAGGAGUCGACACAAGCAGCUUGCAAACGGGCUUCUCAGGUGGAAGAGGUGGCCAGAGAACGUUGCCAGCAGAUGUUCGUGGAUCUAAACUCCCACUGCAGGAUCCCUGUGAGUAGUUGCUGUACCCUGAAACUGCUGAACCGCCUAGUUGCACUUGACCUGACUGGGCAGGCACACUAGAGCUGAUGCGUUGUUUCUAACUCGUUGUUUGAACCCAGGGACCGAGGGUAAGAUUCGCCCAAUAUGUUGAGGAAAAGAAGGCCUUGCCAUCUCCUCGUGAAAAGAAGGCCUCGCCGUCCCCUCGCAGCAGCAGCUGGAGGUGACCAAACGUCUGAAGGUGGACGGGUCCUGCUGACCUACUUACUGAUCGUCUAGUUAUUCAGAACAUUCUGUGUGCCGCCACUUGUGAAUUCUGUCCGGGCUCUGGUACCCGAUCUCAGCAAAUGCAAUGCGAUGUAAUGCAGUAGGGGUAAGAUGUGGUUCUGUAGUUGUCGUAGGCACACAAGGAAGACUGAGAUGAGGUGUAGUCGAGUUUCUGCUAACCGGAACAUGUCAGUUUGCAAUGCAAUGCAGUGGGAAUUUUUAGGCAUGAAAUGGUGACGCUGUCCUUUUUGUGAUGCCUGAUCCUUGUGCUAUGUACCAUCGAUAAUUUAUAGAUAGCCAGCAGCUUCGGAUUUGUUGAGUUGGCUGGCAUGAGUGCGGGUCGUUUCAGGCUUUCAGGCUUGGAAACAUAACAUCUGUGAGUUUAGCUGGAGAGGUUUACAGGUCUAAUCCUCCAAGGAUCUCGUUGUGUGAUGUAACUAGUAAUAUUAUGAUGGAUGAUUGGAAUGGAACUGAAGUAAGCAAUCUGAUUGGAAUGGAACGGCUCGUAUAAUUGUUCACAUUCAGUGGCUCAGUCUGAUAAAGAGUACAACCCCGUGCACAUACAAACGCUUGCUAGUUGUAACACAGAGGGUCACAGCGCACAUAUACAAGUACUGACUGAUUCUGUGGUUCACAUGCCUAGUCGGUGGUGAUGUGUACCCCGAUGGCGAUGAGGAAGACGGCGGCGAGGGCGAAGAAGAUGAUGGCGUGGACGAAGAUGGAGGCGCCGCUGGUCUGGAAGUUGCCGAACUCGACGAAGCGGCCGCCCUUGGCCGGCAGCUGCAGCAGCAGCCCCGGAGAGAGCAGCACGAACAGCACCACCGCCACCACCACCGGGCCCCAGUCAGACAUCUCGCUCACUCUCUUCUUCUUCCCCUCGCCUGCUGGGCUCUCUUUCUCUCCCUCUCUCUCGGCAGAUGCAGGGCAGGAGGAGAUGAGAGCCUCUCCGCGCGUAUAAAAGCAGGCAGAGGAGCGAGCCUGGCCGACGGCGACCCACUGCUGCUGCCAACCAAAACCAAACCAAACCCAAAGCCGGUGCUGAUUAGCUUCGCUAGACGCUAGUGGUGGUGAGUAAGAGUAAUGCUGGGAUAUACUGCCAUGAGCCCAUGAACUGUCUGGGCACUUUCAAGUAGAAGAAGAAGCAGCAGCGGCGGCACCCACCAAUCAUGCGGCACGCUUUCUGCGCGGGGAGGAGUUGGGACGUUGCCGUCGCGCGCGUCCCUCUCGCCUUCUCGCCUCAUGUCCCUCGUCUCGUCUGCCCCGUUCCGUCCGCCCGUCGUGUACCCACUCCACGACCUGUCGACCUGCUGCCCAUUCCUCCCCGUCAUUCAUCAACGGCUUUGCGUUGUGUCGUGAGCUCCUUUUUGCGACUUUGCGUUGUGUCGUAAGCAUCCGUCGCUCGGACAUUGGUGCGUACAGCUCGUUUCAUCAUAUCUACAACUCUUCUGCGCCAGCAGGUUAACAAAUGGUUUGGAUCACUUGGAUAAACAGUCCACUUUAUAAAUCGAAACGUAAAAAAAAAUAGAGUUAUGUUAAAGCGGGUAAAAUCAUGUAAAGUUGUCUUAUAAUCGAGCCACACCAUCAGCAUAAUCCUAGCUGGCGGAGAGAAGCAAAUUAGUGUUGGCUUUGGUAAAUUGGUGUAGCUACCAACCCAUUACCUGGUGGAUCUAAACGGGUUUGGAUCACUUGAGAUUAAGUGAGUGGCAUCACAAGCGUUCCAUCAUUCAUCUGAGUUGUUAGGUCAAAGCUUCAUCAUUUUCCUUCCUUCACCUCACCCUUGUUUUGCACCCACCCGCCGUCGUCCUCGGUGACCUGCUGUACAUGUCCACCUCUCACCCACAGUAGGAGCUUGACCCAAAAUUCAUAGGGGUUGGCACUUACGUUAUUGGGGGGGGGGGGGGGGGGGGGGGGGUGGAGGGCAUGGCCCCCUUUGGCUCAAGCUCUGCCCCUGCUCUUGCCCUAUAGUUGAUGUCGCCCCACCUUCUAGAAAAGCCAUAGCAAAUUCAAACUAGUCGUCUAUAAUCUAGAACUAUAGCAAUUGCCGAGAUGGAAAAGAAAUCAAUGUCGCCGUGUGUGAGAAAUCUCCAAAUUAAACCAAUUUAAUUGAGUCAUCACCAUCGAUCAACUCAAUUAAAGGAGAAUAAUUCAGGUUGUCCUUGAGAUGUGUCAUGAGCAUUGCCCAGAAUUUAUACACACCUCACAUGCACAAGAAUAUAAAUAUCAUCACCAUAUAGCAAUCCAUACAUAGUCCAUCACAAUACAUAGAAGGGUUCAAAGUUCACAUACAUAACAAGUUUAUAGAGUUUGCAGCGAAAGUUUUAUCAUCGCACUCAUCAUACGAUACAACACAAAAUAAGAAAGUUAACACUAUAUGCCGAUAGUAACCUUCCUAGCCAUGGCCAUCUACUCCAUCCCCGGACCUCUGUCUAAAGGGUAGAAGUACCCAAAGACGGCCUCCGGCUGCGGAUCACUUGCAACAACUUAAUGACGGCACCGUGAGUACAAAAGGUACUCCGCAGGUCUUAUCCAAAUACGGGUAUAUACUUGUCCGACUCUCAAGGAGAAUGCAUUCGUUUAAGUACCAAGAAAUGGUAUUGGUAAUUAAAUUUGCAUAAAAACAUCUACAUUUGAUCAAAUUAUAAUAAGCAAAAGACAUGGCAUUCUAUGAUCUCUAAGUCAAGCUUCAAGUAAUUGCAAUAAGUAAAUGUGAUCAUGAACAUGAGCUCAAUCUUCCAUGAACUCCAUUCGGUAACUCUACUUUGAGAUUCCAAAUUCAUGAGCGUGCUCCGUGACUGGGAGCAUGGCUAUUGCAAUAGAUUAAUACCAUGCAGGGAUGUACAACUUUUCCCACACGAGGCGCAAGACCAACGACCAUAUCCUUAGCUUAGGAUAAGUGUUGAUUCAUGCUCCUGAUUGCUCACAUACCCACACCCGGCUAUGAACAAACGGUCGGAAUAGAUAGAUGCACCGGACACGACCGAUCACACCUCAUCCCAUAUUGCACUGAAUCCAGUCAAGGCAAGGUGCGGCUUAUGCUACUUGGCUUGCCAUUCCCACAUUAAGCAUGUGGUUAAUUUGUACAAAAUUGUGCUCAAGAAUCCAGCUACAAAGAUCGGUCCUUAACCAACUCAAACAAGUCUAAGCCAAUUGAGCUCCAAUAUCAACAUGGCCCUACCAUUCUUGCUCAAGUUUGGUUCAUGAUUCAAUGUUGACAACUUUUAUUUACUUGGCUACUUGCCUAGAAGGAGUUGUUCUGGAUCAAAGAUGGAUAUUGCAUUAAGUAGGAGCUAAGCAACAUAUACAUAAUUAAUAACUCAUGUGCAUACAAGACACGUAUACAUCACUGAUCUAAAAUAGGGUUAAAAGAUGCUUAGGUGGCUGCAUUGGUUCACAAAGGAAGCGUCGUCAGCGACGGGCUCUGGCUCGGGCUCACCCUCCUCUUGCUCUGGCGUUUCGGUGUCUAACAAGUGCAAUGAUGCUUGAUAAGUAAAUAUGCCAUGAAUGAUUGCAAUGAUAUGAGUAUGACAUGAUUAAGCAUGUUUUAGCAAUGCUAGAUGAUUAUUCACGAGUUGGUUGUAGCAUACAUAGGUAAGUAAAAUAAGUGUAAGUGUAAAGGUGCUGGACGAGGGGUGGCAGACUGUCCGGCUUGGGAAAGGUGGACCAUCCAGUAUGAACGGUGGACUAUUGUGCGGACCGUCGAUAGGUCAAGUGUGGACCAUUUUGGCAAAACUAGACGGAUUCUGGAUGGUUUUCAAAAAUGAAUGGCGAACCCCCCCAGUAGCGGACCGUCGGUAGUACAAAAUCAGCACGUUGAAAAGAUGUGCAGAGGCUCGGUUCGUUGUGUGGUUGAACUGCGGACCGUCCAACAUCAUGGGCAGACUGUGUGCAGUAUGAAAAGCGGAAGUAGAAAUGUAAAGGUUCUGUUGGUUUUUGGUGUGCAAGUGGCGGACCAUCUGUGGGUGGUGGACGGACUGUCCGCACUGUUGUCGUGGCUCGUAGGCAACUGGCAUCGGUUUGGGGUGCAAUUUAUUUUCAUGGGUUCCUGGGAGUGUCUAGAGUUCAUCUAAGAAGAUAGAUUUGACAUGCAUUAAGGAUUCGAAGCUCUAGGUCAUCAAUGGUGAUUUGGCUCUAAAGAUUUCAUGGAUUCAAAACCUAGGGCAAUGGGGAAAGGAUCGGGGAUGGAGAUGGCUCACUUGCGAUGAGUAGGACUUCGGUGAGGUGCCGUAGGUUGGUGUAGUGCGGCGUUGGGGAAGCUUGGGGUCAUCCUUCACUUGAAGCUUGAGGAAGAUCUUGGGGAUGGAGGAAGGAGAGCUCGGGGAAACUCCAAGCUCAAGGAAGGAGAUGACGUCGAGGUGGUGCAGCUUGACGGCGUCGAGCUCCGGCGGUCCUCCGAUGAAGCUCCGACGAGAUGGAGGGGCUUCAAAGGUGGAGGGACCUUGGGAGCUCCUCCAUGGCUUGGGUGGAAGAGAGAGUAUUUGAGAGUGAAUGGGAUGGGAGCGAGAGAGAGCUGCAAGGUGCUCUAGGCGAGGAGGGGCGCGGGCUAAUGAGUUGGUUCGAGGGGGUGAUGUGGUGCAAAAGUUCUGCGCGCACGACACGUACCGGGAUAUACUAGCAGACCGUCCGUGAGUGAGGGGCGGACUGUCUACGAAUGACGUGGCAGGAGUUGGUCGGGGUCGUGCUUGACUGAGAUCAACAUGAUGACGCGUACGGCGGACCGUCCGGCCGCAAAGGCAAAAGUGCAACACAAGUUUUAUUUAUUUACAACUUUAAUUAAUGCUUAAUGAUGAUAUGCUUAACUUAAACAUGUUUAGAGCUGUUACACCGCGUGUGUCAUCAACGGUGCUUGAAAUCUUUAGAAGACCGGAGAAUAGGAGGUGCGAAGGGGGGAAAAAAUUGACAUUCACCGCGAGUAACAGUUCAUUCGCAGUAUUUUGCCGGUGACCAGUUGUAAUAGCUAAGAACUGGGCGUGAAAAAAUAUUGUGGGAAAAAAAAAGACACGGGAUGAAUCGAGAGGCAAUUUCUUACGCAAUUUCUUACGCGCCACUAAAAAAAGUUUACAAUUCCAUAUCUAUUGUUAAAAAAUCCUCGUGCCUUAGGAGCCACUAGUUCAAUUUUUGUUUCCCUCGGUGCCACUACAGUCUAAUUUGGAUCAAACUGUAGCUAACAGCAGGUUGCAAUGAUCAUUUUGCCCUCAUCUUCCACUUGUUCUCUUUUCCCCUCUUCUCGUGGUCGACGCGCAUGUCGUCGGCGCCAAUCCGGCCCGCAUGAUGCCCGUGGUGUUGUCUGGCAACAAAGAUUCGAAUCAAGGUCCCUCCUCUGUCUCUCUUAUCCUCUCCCUUCUCUCCUUCACUCCCUCACGCCCCCCUCCCUCCUCAUCUUCCGGCAGUGGCGCGGGUGGGCACGUCGGGGCGGGGGCCAGUGCGGCGACGUCGGCGGGGCGAGCGGGUCGCGGCAGGGGCGGCGGCGCGCGCGGGCGCAUCGUGGCAGGGGCCACGGCGGCUCGGGCAGGUCGCGGCAGGGGCGAGGGCGGCGACACGUGCGGGUCGGCGCCGGUGCCAUGGCAGGCCACGACAACGGCGCAGGGCAGGCAGGUCGCGGCGGCGCGCCACUGCGGGCACACGGCAGCGAAAAGGGCGCGGUCCGCGUACGCCGGAGGAGGCGGAGCACGUGGCCUGCCAGAUCCCGCGGGAUGUCCGACCACGACGGCGGCUGCCCGGCGCGCUGCGUUGCCUCCGCCAUCCAUGCGAACCUUGCGAACAGAAGCGAGAGAACACCAGAACAGCAUGCUCCCGACGCCGUGCACCUGUGGUUCUGUAGGAACAUCGGUCUCUGCUCGUGGGAGUUCCUUCCCAAGCCGGCGACGAACGUGGUCGGUGGUCUCUGCUCGCGGGAGGAGCGCGGCGAUGGCGGAGCAGAGCUGCGGGCUGGGGAGCUUGGGGCCGCGGCGCGACCGGUUGCCCUCUCCCUCACUUCGCCUGCCAGCGUUGGGGGACCAUGGUUCAUGGCAAUCGGAGUGGUCGGAUGAGGGGCCAGGGGCACUUUGGCCAAUCCCAAAAAAUACUACCAGGUGACUGCAGUGGCAUGGAAGGGAACAGAAAAUUGAAGUAGUGGCUUCUAACGGUUAGGAGGUGUCUAAACUUUAGCAGGAUCACAUCGAAUGUUCGGAUACUAAUUAAGAGUAAGUUAAUUAUAAAACUAAUUGCACAGAUAGAGUCUAAUUCGUGAGACGAAUCUAAGGCUAAUUAAUUCAUCAUUAGCGAAGGGUUACUGUAGCACCACAUCGUCAAAUCAUGUCCUAAUUAGGCUUAAUAGAUUUGUCUCGCGAAUUAGACUCCAUCUGUGCAAUUAGUUUUAUAAUUAAAUUAUAUUUAAUACUCCUAAUUAGUACCAAACAUCCGAUGUGACAGAUGCUAAAGUUAACUUAUCCAAACACCCCUUAAGCCGUAAAAACUAGUGGUAGACAAGGAAUUACGAACGACGUGCACCGGAUCGACUGGUGCCCUGCAAUCGAGUAGCCGAAAGCAACGAUACACAGGCGGCCAGGGGCCAGGGGCAAGCUGUAACGACUUGACUCCUAGCUAAGCUAAGCUAGCCGGCGUAGAGGUGGACCCCGACGGCGAUCAUGAAGAUGGCGCAGAAGCCGAAGAAGAGGAGCGUGUGGACGAAGAUGGCCAUGCCACUGGUGCGCAUGCUGUGGAACUCCGGCAGCCGCCCGCCGCUGCCGGGGAUCUGGCAAAUCAGCCCCGGCGUGAGCAGCACGAAGAAGAGCACCGCGAUCAGCACCGGCCACCAGUCAGCCAUAUUCUUCUUCUGCUGCUGCUGUGGUGAUCUCGACAAUCACCACCGCGAAUCUGCGAUUAAUGGCCGCAGAGAUCACACUGGUGUGUGUAUAUGUAUAUAUAGUGCAUCUUUGAUGUAUAUAUACAUCUAUACAUCUGCCCCGCCGGCCGGCCGGCCGGCCGGCCGUCCGCCGCACGCGGCUACUAUGUCAAAGCAAGUCCGGCUAAAUGCCAACUAGUGACCCGCUCGUAGACGGCAAUUUGGAAGCUGCUCGUCGUCAGUAGCGAGGGAAGUACUACGUGUUCAGCGGAUACAGGUGCAGCACGUAUCGGCAGACGGAAUUCGGACGAGUCCAUCACGGCUUCUGAGACUCCAAGGCGCCACUCGUCACAUCAGGCUUGUUUUUGCUGCGAGAUCGGUUAGUUCCGUUGCUUAACUUCGACGCCGCCCUGGUUGGUUGGUGUCUCCAUCGAGGAAGAAGCCAGGACACGGCAGAGAGACGACUUGGCAGUUGGCACAGAGCAGAGGCCUUCUUCACCUUGCAGUCGUACACAACUGCUGCUAGUGGAGUACACUGUCCAUGGCGUCAACGACUCCAUGGAAUUUUCCAGUUUCUGAUCAUAGCUAGGGAGAGCGCCAUGUGUUGGCACAUCAGCAUUUGGGUGUGCCUCCCUGCUCUGCUGCAAAGACGAUCCAUUGCUCUCUGCUCCUCGUGCCUUAAAUACCAGUGUGCCUCUCUGCCUCCCUCCCAAACUUGUUUAGAUACGGCCCUUGUUUACUUCACCCCCAACUCCUAACUUUAGCACUAUGCAAAAAGAAGAUUUCCCAUCACAUCAAACUUGCGGUACAUGCAUGGAGUACUAAAUGUAGACGAAAUUAAAAACUAAUUGCACAGUUUUGUUGUACUUUGCGAGACGAAUCUUUUGAGCCUAAUUAGUCAAAUAUUUGGACAAUAAUUCACAAAUACAAACGAAACGCUACAGUGUGCUACAGUGCUGUAACAGUAAUUUGUCACCUCCAAACUUUGGCAACUAAACAAGGCCACAGUUAAUUUUGAUGCAGAUGUAUGCAUGUCAGCAUCAGGUACCUUUGACAGAAGCCUUCAACUGGCUUCGGCCUUCGGCAAAGAUGAAGCAGCUGGUCCCUUUCUGACUCAGCUGUACAGUAGUGUGGCCCGAGCCAUGCACCAACCACAUGCAUGGUACUACUAGAAUUCGAUUUUUUUUUAUUUGCGGCAAAAUAUUUCCCGCAAGUUUAUUAGACGAAGGAAAGAGGCAUUGAUGCCUUGUUUCAUCAUUUUCUUUAUGAAAAUCUUCAUUUGAUGUCUUGUGUUUUCUCAAUUUCUAUGUUGCUUCCAUUUUUUCUUUUCAAAUACUCCAAAUCUUCCAUAUAAUACCCCACAUCUAAAAUCUGGUUAUGAAUUAGCACCCACAUGGAGCAAGUCUGAGCCUGCUAACGGCACCUUUCUUGUACUUUUAUCCUCACUUUUUUUUAAUAAAAAUUAAGGUUAACGUAACAAUGUUUUGAUUAAGUAUCAGACAGACCAAUAUAAUCUAGGCUAGUGUGUUAUUAGUUGAACUUGUGUCAACCAUCAAUGUGGCUUCUUAUGUCUGGGUCUAAGGCCACUCAGGGCUAAAGUGAGAAUUCUUGAAUUACAACCUUGAGGUAACAAAUGCCCAAAUCUGGUAUAGAUUGGAAAAUUAGCUUUACAAUACCUAGCGCCAUGUGUUGGCUCUACGAAUGCACGGACGGUAUUUUAAGCGAACCAAACCGCUAUAAGCUCUAGUUUGUUCUUUUACCGGUUGAACCGCCGAUCUGAUCCUAGUGACUAUGACUUUAUACAAUUUAAAACCACAACCGAACAAUUUCCGGUCAUAUACUCACAACUCAGGACCUAAUUCGAUCAUCAGUUUCAGAGACCAGCAGCCAGUUAGGCUAGCCGAAGCGCAGAAAGCUCCUAGUAAAAGCUAAGCCGCGCGCAGCGAGACAAAACAACAUGCUAGUACAUGCCCAUGUCGCCAUCUGCAUGCACGCGUGGCCGAAGCCUAACCCUACGGUCACUCGCGCGCGUCACUGUCACUGUCAGCCUAGCAGCAGCUGGUGGUUUGGCCGGCCGUUUGGGGUGAGCAAAGCAGAGAAGCCAUGGCAUCCACACGCGCCGUAUCCCAUCGCAUCUCAUGGAACGGCCGGAUGCCAAAUCGUUCGCACAACUCUCGCAGCCUGUGAUGGUUGAUGAGGGCACACGCACGGCACGGCACGGCAUAGCGUACGUACGCCGCCCCUACGAAGCCAGCAUGAUGUUCACGAGCUGUGGCCUGAUCGCUGCGUAUCGAUAGCUUUUGUUCCUUUCCUACGCCGAUCGAUCACAUCGCGGCCAUGGCGACCCGGCACCGAACUCCCUCUACUGGAUGUGUACAGUGCUCGUUUACCCGGCCGGUAGCUUCGGUCCUUUGAGAAUGAUUGAGAUCAUGCAUAUCCCCUGCGGCUGGAAUCUCAAAAGUUUCAUUCAGAGAGCACAGUGCCAGCAGCAAGCAUAAAAGUAGUAGUCGUAGUAGUUACAAAGAAAUAAAGCAACAAAGUGAACAUUAUUCAUGCUGAACCCAUAAAAAGAAGUUGGAUAUAUGUAUCAGAAAGUGAGGCUGAUAUGUGGGAUAGCUUUUCGUUGAUGCGUAUGAAGAGUCAUUCCUUGUGCCUAGUUUCAGAUGAACAGCAAUGCAACUAGGGGGCUCGGUUCAUAUGCAUGCUCAGGGAUGGGAACGGCAAAUUCAGAUGAUUUUUCUGAUUAGAGGCAAUUAAGAACUGUGUUCAAUGCUGCUUCAUUGUUAUGACAUAUAUGAUGCACUUUGAACAAGGGUAUCUAGUUAAUCGUUCAGCAACGAACGAAUAAUGCGCCAAGGCAAAAGCAUAUAUAAUAAGCAAAUUGAUCGAAGAGCUGAGCUCGUGUAUUAUUAGAAGAAGAAAUAAAUAAACUCGGAUGAUACAUACAUUGUUAUUUAAUACAUGUAUAUAGGAAAAAGAACCCUUGAUUAGAGAUGGGCUAGUGAUAGAGAAUGCGAACGAGCUGCUAGCUGAUGGACAGACAUCGGCAGGCAGCCAUCGGAUGAUCUAUGAACAACAGGCGGCUAGCUAAAUCUAGGAGCCCAGGUACAUGCGCACGCCGAUGGCGAUGAGGAAGAUGGCGAUGAGGGCGAAGUAGAGGAUUGCGUGGACGAGGAUGGAGAGCGCGCUGGUGUGGAAGUUGCCGAACUCGAUGAUCCGGCACUUGCCGGGGAUCUGGAACAGCAGCCCCGGCGACAGCAGGAUGAAGAGCACCAGCGAGAUGAACACCGGCGCCCAGUCUUGCAUCUUCAAUAACUCUCUCUUCUCUCCUAGCUUGUCCUUGAAACGACCUGGAUGAGGUAUCCUCCUCCUGCUGCAGUCCCGCUUAUACGCCAACCUCUCGCCUCUUAACUUGGUGGCUGUGGCUAGCUAGCUCUACACAGGUGAGGUGAGACCUCCACCUCCACGUAUGGACAACUGCUAUCAAUGGACGUACGCCCUGCUAGCAGAAGCAGGUAGCGAGUUCCUUCAAGCGGUGGUGAAGGGCUAUAUAGGUGCCCUACCGGCUACCCUAGCGUCCAAGAGAGGUUGCAGCGGCGCUGUCAUGCUUUGGCCUUUGGGAGGGUCUGAGAGAGUCUGGAGUCUUAAUGAUGAUGAGAUGAUCGGAGAUGCGGCUUUACUAAUCCGUGCUGUGCCCAGUGUUGCCUGUGAUUGUGAUUGGGUCCUCUUUUUUGUUCCUACUUUCUUAUUUCGGUGGCACGCAGAAAGGAUCUUUAAUUUCCGGGUGUUCCCCCCACAAGGCCAGAACAGAUGGAUGAUGGUAAGUGGGAUGUCCUGAGUCAGCCGAAAGGGGAAGAGGGAGGGGGACGCUUCGACUGCCCCGAGUCGAAAUCCAAAGAUCUGACCUGCUGCCGAUCCAUCUUGCAUUCUUGUUUCUUGCUCAGGAUUUUCAAGGUCCACUACCGCUGUUUACACCUGCAGGAAGAUGGUGGUAGGAUCUAAAAUCUAAUCUAUGUUCCAUUCUUCCUAGAAAGUGAGAUGAUCAAAAUGCAAUUGCACGGCAGGUCUAACCGCGGUGAUGAGGUGACUCCACGCGCUGACACAAGGAUUUUGCACUCGCAUCGAAAAGCAGAUUCUUCGACAAAAGUUUUCUGGGGCUUCUUGUUAGCGCUCACAAACUCACAAUAACAACAGACAUAGCAGUAGACCAGUGGCAGUACUGAACUAAUUCUGUAACUAGCUGGGCUUUACCAUGUGGAACCUGAGAAACUCGACGGCCGCGCCUGCUGGUGGCAUGGAAACAUCAAAAGGAGCCCAAUGGGCCUUUUGAUCCGUGGAGAAAGAAGCCCAUGGAGUCUCACAUGGAAAUGCACUACCCAGAGUUUGAGAUCACCUACCCGUCUCUUCCUCCCAUCCCAGAGUUUGAGAUCUAUCCUGUGAAAGACGCACAUGGAAAUGCGCUACCAAAUGCCCCGUCCUCGUCUCUAAAAGACGAGGAAUAAAGCCAUCGGAAGCAGACUGGUUAACAGACAAGAGAACAAACAAAGCACCGCAGCUAUACUCCAUAUACUUCAGAUCAAAAUGAGGCACAGAUGUUCAACCUACAUUUGAGCUCAAACGUUUCAAGAUCAGACAUUCAGAGUUUCAGAAAUUUGACUCUUAUACAUUGGUAAGGUAUUACAACUUCGCAAAGGGAAACAAAACCUAUAUAUAUAAAGACUCCAGCGCAGUUCGCUAUUCGGUUAAUACUUCAAAGACGAUAUACAUUUAUCUUUUCAGAUCUGUUAACUAGCUAUGUAUAUUAGCAUACUCAUCAACAAUCAAGGGCUUGAGCUGGUCGUCGUCUUACUCGUCAGGGACGACCGCAUGGUCACGAUGGCGGACUCGUUGGCGCCCAGCCGCACCGCCUGCUUGCUCGCCUGCAGGAAGCCGGUGAUGGCGCGCCGCACGUACGCAUCGGCCUGCUUCACCGUCAUCUUCUUCCUCCGGGUCUCCUGCGCGAGGCUCGUCAGCAUGUAGUCGCCGUUCAGGAAGCUCGCGAGCUCCACGAGCUCCCGCUGGAAGUCCGAGAGCCACCCGUGUUCGUUGGGCGGGGUUGGCCUCUCGAAUGGCACCUCUGGCAGUGUCUCUGCACCAGAGAUUUUAGUGUAAUGAUGAUAGUUAGUAAUUGAGGUUCUGAUUCAUGUGAUUGCUUGGAUGGAUCGAAUCUAUUGCAUUAUGUAACUGAGCUGGGCAUUGUGUUCGUCUCUUCGAUCGGAUCUAUUGCUCGAUGUCGAGUUGCUGAUGAACAUGAUUCGGAUGAAUUUCAGAUGAAGGGUUGGUAGGAAAGUUGGCAUACCUGGGCAGUCCGUUCUUGGUUGGUCGAGCUCGGUGAAGAUGUGCUCGAAUGUGCCGGCCCACGCGUCCCUCUUGGUGAGGAAAUCCGACGAGAGGUUGAAGAUCUUCUUGAGGGUGGCCGGGAUGGAGGAGUGCUCGAACUCGGAGGUGUCGGUGGGCCCGGCGGGUCGGCCGACGACGGUGCCCUUCUUGAUCCACGGCGAGACCAUGAUGGUGGGCACCCUGACGCCGAGGCGGUCGAACUUGAAGAAGAAUGGCGGCGGGCCGCGGAUGCCGUCGGGGCUGGGCACGCCGGCGGUGGGCGUGGCGACGUGGUCGUAGAAGCCGCCGUGCUCGUCGUAGGUGACGAUGAGCAGCGUCUGGUUCCACUGCGGGCUCGCCCGGAGCGCCUCGUACACGUCCUUGACGAGGCGCUGGCCGUUGGCGACGUCGUGCGCCGGGUGGUCGUCGUCGGCGGGGGUCCCCGUGAGGUCGAAGUACCUGGGCUCGAUGACGGAGAGCGCCGGGAGGACGCCGCGGCGGGCGUGGUCCCGGAAGGCGGCGUCGUAGCGGUGGAAGCUGCGGGCGGCGUAGCGGAGCGCGCGGAGGCGGCGGUAGAAGAGGACGGUGGGGAUGGUCUUGAAGUAGACGCCGAAGCCCCGGCCGUCGGCGGCGAGGGAGUCGAAGAUGGUGCGCUGCGGGUAGCCGAGGAGGAGGUCGAGCUUGUCGUGCGCGACGGCGCCGCGGGAGGUGGCGGAGUAGAGGAAGAGGCGGUUGGGCUGGGUGGGCCCCGGGAUGGAGGAGAACCAGCGGUCGAAGACGGCGAAGGCCGGGGCGAGCGCGGAGAAGGUGGGCAGGAGGGAGGGGCGGAAGGCGCGCAUGACGGCGGAGGAGAGCAGCGCGUUGACGGAGAGCGCGCUGCGGACGAAGCCCGACAUGGAGGGCUGCGCCGCGGCGGUGCCGGCGCCGGAGGAGAUGUUGCCGAAGACCUGCUCCAGGACGUCCUCGAAGGAGUGGCCCGGGUCGUCGGGGACGACGAGGUCGGCGUCGGCGGACACGCAGAUGGAGGAGGACGACGAGGUGGUGGUGGAGUUGGCGGAGUUGGGGUUGCACUCGGCGCCGGUGAGCCCGUCGACGGGGAGGCCAAGCAGGCGGCGCGUCCACCCCAGCAUGUGGUCGAACGACCGGUUCUCCAGCGCCAGCACCACCACAUUCUUUAUGGGGCUGGGCCGGGCGCCGUCGUCCGCCCCCCUCACGGCGGCAUUGGCCUCGCCGCUGCCGGCGACGAGGAAGAACAGCAGGAGGAGGAGCGGCAGGGGCAUCGGCCGCGGAGCACGGCGGCGGGGCGAUCCCAUUGCCAUGGCCCGUGCUCGACGGGAUGCCGCGCCGUGGGGGGUGCGUCUCGUGCGGCCGUGCUCGUGCAAGUGGAAGAUGGGAGGGCGCGUGGGCUGGCGGCCUUGGCGGCAUCCUCCUGGUCUCCGCUCUCAAUUUCGGCGGCCAUGGCCCAUGGAUGCCGCCAAGCACCUGUGACUGGGGUGGACCUCCGUCGAGCGAGUGACGCACAGGCGACGUGUCGCGUCUUGUCGUGCAAGUACGCGUGGGCUGCGGGCAUGUGUGUGCGUCCACGGGCCACCUCGUCGCUCCGCCAAAGAUCUUUCUAGCACUUGUUCGGUGGGCGUCGACACCAGCGGCACAUUGCACAAGCUCACGAGCACAGUUCACAGAUUCGGAGCCUGUUCGCUUCAGCUUAUCAGCCGAUUUAUCAACCAUUGUUCUGUUUUUCUCUCACAACAAAUUAGCCGUUUUAGCUUUUUAGCUGGCUUAUAAGUUCAGCCGAACAGGUUAUCGGUUUGCAACGCCCACUGAGUCGGUCAGGUCGCCUAGCUGUCUCUGCUUGAUCUCUUGCGCCGACCGUGUAUCCAUCAUGGAGUUUUAUAUUAGUCUUUUCUUUUCACGCAUCCACCUCCGCUGGAAGAGAGUGGACGCAUGUGCACCGUGCACGAGUGCGGCUGGUUUGUGCUUGGUCCAUGGACCCACCCACCACCCCGGUUCGCCACCGAAAAUGCCAGCCCGCCACGAAAGAGGAAGCCCAUACGAGAAGAGGCCCGGGGAAGUUUAACAAGCCCGGCCCAUCAAGCUCUGCUCUACUGUUGCAUUGCGCUCCACUCCCAUCGAGUGGCGCGUGGCGGGGAGGACAGAUAAGAUCGAUGUCGUGAACGGCGGCGACAAGGAGGCCGGGAGAAAUGCCGCCGACCACACCUGCGCCGGCGCGGCCCUGUCCUCCGCCAGCUCCAGCAGCGGCGCCAAUCCGUCCGCAGCUCCUAUCCUCCGUUGCGCCGUUAGCGCUCGCCGCCGCGCUCGUCUGCGGCGCGGGCCCCGCCGCCGACGCCCCGGCCGCCAGGGCCGUCCCGUUCGUCCGUCCUCCUCCCCUGCAGGGAAAGCCCUUCGCCUCCUCCACGCCGUACGCACAGUCGCAGAAGCUGCAGCUUGGCCUCGACAAGCUCGGGUUCGUGGAUGCUCUUUAUUACUGCUGCAAUUGGAGAUGUUAAUUGUUAUGCUCCUGAUCGUGAUUCAUGUACGCAUCGUGGUGCACUGCAGGAAGAUCAGGCCGUGCCCGUCCACCAACCCGGGGUGCGUGUCCACGAACGCGCUGGGAUCUUCCGGCUCCUUCGCCUCCCCGCUGGUCAUCCCGGAAUCAUCCGCCGGGGACAAGGCCGUUGCCGUAAGCCCCCCACCUAACUGGCCAAGUGCUCAUCUCUGAAUUGAACCGAUCGCACGUGCUUCUCCUUUCCGCAAAUACCAAAUUCAGAUAAUACUAUGCAAUUUCUCUCUGACUGUCAGCUCAGAUGCUUUUGCACUUCCUUGAUCUCGUUCUUACGUGCUUUCUGGUGGCCGGCGUGCAGUCGUUGCGGCAAGCCAUAGAGAAGACACAGAGCAAUGUGGACUUCAAGGUCGACCAAGACACCCCUUACGGUCAGCACGCCAUCCAAAUUAAAGCUCGAGGAGCUUCACUACGGAAUUUGGACAUGAAAUAACUUACCAUGCAUUUCAGGUCACUACAUUGAGGCGGAGAUGGACGGCGGCGUGGGCCGGGACGUGAUGGAGUUUCUGGUGAAGAAAGACGCCGGCGUGGUGGCGUACCGGUGCAUGGCCACCAAGGUCACCUUCGUCUACCCCUUCACCACCGCCGUCGGCGACUCCAAGGGGCAGAAGCAGAGGAUCGCCGCCAUCUCGCAGGAGCUCGGUUGGUACGCCCCGGACAUCCAGUCCUCCAUGGACUUCGACGACGUCGGUUAUCCUCCGUGAAGACUGAAGAGUUGAAUACCGGAUGUCGGAGGACCAACCAUCGUCAUCGAUUCAUCCAUCGGGUGGAGCAGAGGUAAAUGUAUGUUGGUGUAUAUAAAAGUAGCUAGGAUUCGGGUCGUACUGCCACUGUUGUUCAUAUUGUCAGUGCACGUCCGGCUGUGCCGUCCAACUAUGUUCCUGUUAUACAUACUGUAUUAACCACUCAUGUAAUUUGUUUAUACUUGAUUCUUGUUUAACCAAUGUUGUAUGUAGGGAAUCGUUAGUAACUUUCUAGUGUGAUACUGAUGCCGUUCGUGUUGACAACCGAGUGGGAGCAGCAGGAGAUCAAGGCACUUUCCAAGACGAAUUGCAGCACUUCUUUCUCGUAUGCGCUGGAUUAGUUGAAUAUAGAAGUAGAAGCGGAUCUCUUAUUGGCUGCAAGGCAGAAGAUUGCGCGACAUCCAGUACCUAAGCUAAGCAAGUCAGAUUUUGCAACGUGUUUUACACGGUGGUAUGCGCCCAAGCUAAGCUCAGGUUGAAUACAAUGCCCACCCCGUCCCAAGCCGGCCUAAUCAUAGAACAACAUGAAGGCCAUUUAGGUGCUGUUAGGUUGGGCCUUUUCCCCCAUAUAAAUGGUUCAUAUGGCACCAUCAGGUAACGUUAAAUCACAUUUGCAAGUAGUCUACCAUGGAUUGGAUCAGAUUGCUGACAUGAGGGUCCCCAUAUUAAUGGAUUACUUUUUUUUUUACUUCCUCCCGUUCCUAGUCGCGCACGGCACCGAAUCCCAACCCGACGCGACCGCGAGGCGGCGGCGCCCCUACCUCCCCUCUCUGAUGUGAUUCCCAGCUGUCUAGCACCUCCCCUUCCUCCUCAGAUCCGCCCGAGGAGAAGGCUAACGUCCUGCAAGAGGGGGAUCCCAGGCUUCAUGGCACGGGGGCGGAGGCAGGCCCCAUGGAGCAACAACCCCAAGGCUCGGAGACAAACCACCGAAGCUGUGUAACCGGCCAUGGCACGCCGGUGACGGAGGUAGACAGCUCGCGGGUCUCCUCCCCCUCCCCCUUAUCCAGAUGGGUUUGGGCUGUUCAGGGAUGUCGCGUGCUCCUCGACGGCAGCUCCCAUGGUUGAGCGACGUCGCUUGGCGGAGCGAAAAUUUCCACGCGCCAUGGCCAACUGUCGAUAGGGGAGAGGGUUGCAUUCCCUUACAUAAAAAGUAGAGGAACUGAGUUUUUGGUAGUUGCCAAAAAAAAUUUGAUACUGGGGAAGAGGUUGCCAAUCUGCUGGAGACGAAUCUUAUCUUCAAAAUCCCCAAAAUGGUAGGUUUUUAAUACUGGGAAGGAUAUAUGUAAUCCGCUAGAGAUGCUCUAAGUAAUCAUUCCAUUUCUGUUACCGCUGAGAUUUGAUCCGUACAUUUAUUUUUUAGCUUGGAACUUUGAACCAAACGGAUAAAACCAACUAAACAUAGAACACAUUUAGAAUUGACUUCCAAUCGCCCAAAAAUUGACGCUAAACCACUAAUAUUGUCAAGUGAGGGAUGUUUGGAUACGAGGUGCUAAACUUUAGUAGUAUCACAUCGGAUGUUCGAAUGCUAAUUAUGAGGAUUAAACAUAAGCUAAUUACAAAACUAAUUGCACAAAUGGAGUCUAAUUCGCGAGACGAAUCUACUAAGUCUAAUAGGAGUAUUUGACAAUGUGGUGCUACAGUAACCAUUUACUAAUGAUGGAUUAAAUAAUUAAACAUUAUCAAAUCAAAUUGUGGUGCUACAGUAACCAUUUACUAAUGAUGGAUUAAAUAAUUAAACAUUAUCAAAUCAUGAACGCUUAAUAGAUUCGUCUCGCGAAUUAGACUUCAUCUGUGCAAUUAGUUUUAUAAUUAAACUAUGUCUAGUCCUUCUAUUUAGUAUUUAAAUAUCUGAUGUAUCAAACACCCCUGAGACUAAUAGAAAGAAUUUGGUUGGUAGCAUCCACGAAAAAUUCUGCAGGAUCAAAGCAUCCACGAAAAAUGGGUAGGUGAUAACUGUGGUCCAGCUGGCUCCCACGUUACGACACCAGGCAGCAGCCAGAUCAGCCAGCAACGGUCACUUCUACCGUGCGCCGGCGUCACAAUCACCACCACUCGCUGCCCUCCACGUGUCCACUACCUCCGUCCUACCCCCUCUUCCCCAACGGCUAUUUCACUAUUUCCCCACCACAUCACCCGUCCCGCCCGUCGCGUCUCUCGCCUUGACCGCAAAAAAAAGAAAAAAAAAAAGAAACAGCGCGCCACCAGACAAGGAGGAGAGGAAAGGGGGGAGGAGGGAGGAGGAAGAGGAGAGAGAAACCCUAAUCGAAAUGGGCAAGCUUCUCUGCGACCCAUCCGCCGCCGCCGUCGCUGAGCCUCUGCCGCCGUCCCCGGCUCCCGCUCCGCCGCCACCGCUCCUCGCCUGGCACUCCCCGGCGCCCGCCCCCGCCCUCGAGGCCUCCACCUCGCCCACGGGCUGGGACGCCGUCUGGGCGCUCGAGGACCAGCAGCGCCGCCGCCUCCACCGGAUCUGGGAGCGGGGCGUGGCGUGGAAGCCCUCCUCCCCUGGCGGCGAGGAGGGUGCGGCGCCCGUGGUCUUCCGCCUCGACCACGGUGGGGAGGUCGACGCCGAUGGCAACUGCCUCUUCACCGCUGCACGGACGGCCGCAGCAGCCAAGGCCGACGCGCGCGAGCUCAGGCACCGCGCUGUGCGCCGGUUUGCAGAGGUCUACGACGCCGCGGGGGAGGACGACAGGGGCGCCGUUGACGCGGCCGUGAGGCACCUCUACGCGCCGGAUCUCAAGGCCGGGUGGGGCGUCCACGUCGUGCAGGAGAUCAAGGUGCUCGCGCCCAAGGCCCAGCGCGACGCGCUCGACGCCGCCAUCCAGGAGCUCGUCGAUCUUGGCAUCCAGAGGUACCCCGCACAAGCAACUCCCGGAUCUUGUCUCUCUGCUAUAGUUUUCUUUUUCCUUUUCUUUUUCUUUUUUUUUGCCUCGUCGUGUCACGACGAUCUCAAGGCCUCGCCUUUUUCUAUUCUUUUACCGAUUUGCUCUUAAUCUCAUCAGAGCACAUGUAAUGUCCCUCUCUUGCCUUCUUGAAAGAAAAAUAAGUCCUGUUUUCCCCGCCAAAUAUGCUUGUUCUCGAGAUAGAAGUUUAGUCAUUUCAGCUAACUUACAUCUAGCAAUUCGUGGUUCCUUUAGCUCUUUCGGACGUUACCAUAAGUACAAGCACUGAUUGAUGCAAACUUGUGGCAUCAUGGAGAUGCAGGAAAUCGCCUCGCGACUUAACGAGGUCUCCUAGUAUGGCACCCUUGAUAAAAUGGCCAAGAAAGGAUGGAAUCAUUCUUUAAGUGCUGUGACAUGAGUGCCGAUGUAAUGGGAGCAACUUGGGCAAAGUAUCCAACUUGCGUGUGGAUUAAAUCCCAGUACUCCAUUUAGUACCAACAUGCUUGACCCUGGUACAAUUGUACAUCUUAAUCACAGAAUCUCUAGUAGUUUUGUACUAAGUUUGGGUUUCCUGUACUUUGUUCAUUUGUGGACAACCUAACCAUCUAGUUUUUCAGAAUUCAACUUAUGUGCUUAUAUCGCAUCUUUAUGUUGUUGAUUGCUUUGCAGGGAAAUUGCGGCUGAAACUAUCUACAAGGAGAGAUGUAUCGCUGUAAACAAUGGAGACAGUUGGGCCAAGUACAUGUCCAUUUCUGGUUCCGCAGAGGAUGAGCACGACAUUAUCACCCUGCAGUAUACGGAGGAGGGCUUACUAACAAUUGAUGAGAACAGGGAUGGCCGUGCAGCUGCAUUUGGUGAUGAUAUUGCCAUUGAGUGCCUGGCAACCGAGUUCAAGAGAGAAGUUUAUGUGGUAAAGUCUGAACGUGUGAAUAUGAUAUGUUGCCCAAUUAUGGUUCACCAUAGAACUAGCCGUUAUUUUAUAUCUGCAUUUGGUAGCUGAAAUACAGCACUUUGUAAUCUGAUUGGACCAUUUUGUUUGUGCAUUGGUAUAGGUGCAAGCUCAUGGAGCAGAUGCAAUGGUUGAUGAGGAUAAUUGUGUUUUCUUCCUCCCACACCGUCCUAGAGGAGAAAUUUGUGAACCACCAAUUUUUCUAUUCAUGAAAGGAACAGGUCUGUUGCAGAUUGCAAACCUUGCUGUGCCUUCUCCUGCAAAUUUAGUGAUGCAUCCAUACUUAAGUAGACUACAAAUUUUUACUUGCAGCCUGGUGUGGCGCUGGUGCGGACCAUUAUGAGCCUUUGAUUGCUACUGUCCUCCAGCAUGUUACUUCAGACAAGGCAGCUGUUGUACUUUGAGGAGGAUGACUGCGGCUUUUUUUCCUUAGUUUUUAGUCAGCGAUGGAGUUGAGACAAUUUUGUUAUUGGAGCUAGAGGUGCUGAAUGGAGGAGCAACAUCUUGCCCAAGAGAAGAGAGAUAUCUGAGUAUCUGACUGUUGCAGGGUCUUGCCUGCUUCUGAAUCUGUGUACUAUGAUUUGAUUUGUAUGGUGAUUUUGUUGUUGUAUGUUUAUGAAUAGGUUCUGACUAGUGAGGAUAUUCAGAGAGUGGUAGAAUACCGGAUCUAGAUUUUUGGGGUCUGAUGUUGUUUGCCAUUGUCGGCCGGCAUUUUUGUAUUGCCUCUUGUGAGGAUAUUUUUUGGUUGCCUGUUUCUAGGGACAUCAUUAUUGGACAUUUGGAAUGGAAUCAAUUCCUUUUUGGAAUUUUGGUGUUAACUCUUGCCUGUCAAUCUCUGUUAUUGCUCCACCUUCUGUUGUACUGGCUAUUAUAGAGUAAGAAACUACUGAAACUUUCUUGCUGCAAGCCAUGAUGUGGGUUAGAGAUAGUUUGGUCUGGGUUCAACGAAAUGCAUUGGAUGUUCAUAUGCAAAGGUGAGAAAGCUAUUGGAUGUACACAGAUGAGGUCUCCAUAUGUAAUCACGUCCUGUUGUCAAAUGAACACUUUUAUGAGUCUAGAUGCAAAAUGGGUGAUGAUUGAUGAGUCUGUAAAUGCAAAUGUUUGCGCACUCGUGUAAAAUAACCAGAUCUCCAUUUAUAAUUACAUCUUGGGUGUCUACUAAACCUUAGGAGUUCAGAUGCAAAAUGAUUGAUGACUCAUGAGUCUGUAAAUGCAAAUGUUUCUUAGUGAAUUUGCAGUGAAAGAUGCGAGUUUGGUCAUGUCCUGUGUUGCUCAACUCUACUGAUAACUUUGCUUUUCCUGUUCGCUGCUCUUAUUCAAUACCAGAUUUGGCUUUGUGAACUGUUAUCAGAGUAUUUGCGGACUUGAAUUUGGCCACCUUGGUGAGCCAUCAAGUUAAAAUGAACUGUUAUUGUUUUUAAGUUGCUGCACUUGACUAGUUAAGAUGAUGUCCAUCUAGCAAAUAAUCGAGACAGAUUUUAAUGUUUGCACGUUCAGUUUAGUUGCUGAGCCAAAAACAGAUAGCUCCAUAACAAAAUGGUACGGUCUUGCUACCUGAAAUUUUUUUAGAUCACAGCAGGAAGUUCUACUGAGUCAUAUGGCUGCAACUGUGCAAGGUGAAAAAUUCAGCUUAUGACUGAAUACAUGCACGAGAAACUACAGAAUCGUCAAGGCAACAAUCAGAAUCACAGGCUCAGCUAUCGUCGCACUGAAAUUAGGGUCUGGUUGGUUGGAGAGCACCCAUCCAUGUAUUUCAAACCAAACACCUCAAAAGAACUGAACCUGCAUCUCCAAUUCCAUCCCGUCCAUCCAAACCAAAUGGACCCUUAAUCUUCAAUCAUCUAAGAAACAGAAUAGACUUGGUCCUUUGUUUGCUAAACGAAAGGGUUUUUCAGUUAAGAGUACAAGAACAUGCAAGGCAUUUCAUGGUGACAACUGACAACUUUUAUUAUUUCGAAGGAAUAACCAGCAACCCUAUUUGAUGGGGGAACAAAUCACAUUUUCUUGCAUUACAAUGUUGUUUGAGCAAAGGGUACAAGCAGUUUUCAGUACAAACAUAAGAAUUUCGGUGUCAAGUCUGAGUUCUGACCAAACGGUGGCCAAGGUUUUUAUUUGUUCUUCACCUUUUCAGCUUGAAAUGCUCCACAGAUCUUCUUCCAGGAUCUCAUGGCAAUGAGCGUUGGUAUCACAACCCAUGAACCGUUCGCACCUAUGAAGUAUGCCCAGAAGUAGAAGGGACUGGCCCAGAAAUUGAAGCCAUCCAAGUAGGCGGUAAUGAAGUAAACCAAGCAUCCAUAGAGCUGACCCAAGCAGACAGAGAACUGAAGAAUAUGGCUGUAGGACUUCCGGGAUGCAAUAGCGUAGCUGCAAGGAGCAAAUUUUUGGUGAGAUGAAGUAAAAGCUACAUAAAAUACAAAAUCACACAAUCAGAAUGUCUGUAGACUAAAAUCUACUAGUACAAGUUAAAUUUUCGUAGUUUUGCUUGGAUACAGUUUUUACUAGACAAGUAGAAAGGGAGUUUUUCAAUUGUACAGCUAUGUUCUAACAAAAAAGGUGUCAAGAUGAGUUUUUUCAGAUCUCUGCAAGAAAUUCACUGGAAAUAGCACACCGGUAUUCAAGAUAGUGCUACUAUCUCAUGCUUUGCAGUUGGAUCGAUUUGAGCAACGAAAAACCAAAAACACAAAAGAACUGAAGCCUUUGCUGAUGCGUCUAACUAGUGUCUAUCUAUUGUAAAUCUAUCCAACCAACCUAACUAGUGUCUGACAUGAAGAAAGAAAAGGUAUCCCAAUACAACCUGAAAUCUGAAUGGGGCUUAACCCCAUCACAGAGCCAGGUUUGACUGAAUUUCAUUAGCAAUAGAAAACUAGAGAGUACUUGUAUGGACAAGAAAUGAAACAGGCUAUGUAGAUAAGUAAGUCGAUCAGGAGAUGAGAAGACAUACACAGCUAGCAGCGAUGCAGGGCCUUCCAAUACCGCGGUAAUCCCUUCAACCGUAACAGUCGCGGUGUCCCUAGCAACGUACCUAGAGUCCCCCUUGCUGUACUCUUUCCCUGAACAAGGUAGAAACCAACCACUGUCAUCUCAGCUUAUCCACAAUAUAUUUUGAUUCGGGACAAUGAUGCCAGCCGACGAUGCCAGCAAGAACUCACAAACUUCAUCGAAGAAAUUGGGGUUCUCCUUCUUGAAGAAGUUAGGGGUGAAGACGAAGGGCCCCUCGAUUAUUAUAUGGGUCAGCCCUGUGAAUGCCCACCAGCACAUGAGCAGCCGCUCGGUCUUGGAUAACCUGCCACAUCUUCCUACAAGCAAAUACGUGACUCGACCUCAGAAUUUAGUUCCUCCAAAAAACUCAGAAUUAUAUUACUAGAUUGCUAGAGAUUUGUUCGUCUUGGGUUACGAGCAAGUCACUGUUUGCAGCUCUUAUUUGUUGGACUCCUAGAAUCAAAUGUCCAGUGCGGUGACAUACGGGAUUGCAAAUUCUAAGUAAAUUUCUUAGAUGAGACACGCUCAGAUUGUCAAGAGCAAGGCAGCAUCAUGAUGCGCCAAGAUAAUCGAUUUUAAAAAUUACAACAUCGCAUCGGGCCCCUUCACAUCUCCAAAGUUCCCGUUGCUAAUUUCCGGUGGAACCAACGAGACCACCGGGCAAGACUGCAACUUUUGGACACUGGAGUUCCAAAUUCCAAGAGGUGGGAAGCGAAUCCCCGGUGAAGGAGCGGAGGAACAAGCAGUAGGAGAUCGGCAUCUGAGGAGGAUAGGGUAUGGGUACCGGAGACGAGCCAGACGGCGAGGAGGACGAAGAGGGAGGCACCGAUGUAGGUCACGAGGAUCUCGCCCUGCGACAGCCGUAGCGGCACGAAGCCCGGCAGCUCCAGGUCCGCCGGCGCGUAAGGGUGGCCCAUUGCCGCCGCCCGCCCGCCUGCUCGACCGGCUACAACAAGGACUUGCCGCCGCCGAUCUGGGAAGAGCCGCGCCGCAACAACAGCAGCGACAACUUGACUUGUGAGGCGGGCAGAUGAGAGAGAUGCUGACUGCUGGAACUCUUAAAAAAAGAAGAAAUGCUGACUGCUGUAGAGGAGAGGAUCAGAGGAGGCCAGGCAUGGACGGAGGAUACGGGGGAUUGGACAAUCAGUCGAUGACAUGUGGGGCCGAAAUGGUGGGAAUUGCUUGCCUGCCAUGUUUCCCUCCAAAUUAUAUAAUAAAUAAAUUAUAUAAGUUAGAUUAUGAUUAAUAGAUAAUAAGGUAAAAGAGUAUUCUGGGAUCACUUUAAGACACACAUAAUCUAAGAUAGAUAAGCUCAUUUGAAAUUAUUUAUGAACCCACGAUGGUUUAGAUUAUAUAAUUAGGUGGAUUAUAAUACUCCCUUCGUCCCAAAUUAUAGGUUGUUUUGAUUUUAUUAAAUUCAUAAACUUUGUUAUGCACUUAGAUAUACCCUAUGUCUAGAUGCAUAAUAAUAUCUAUGUAUCUAGAAAAACCAAAACGACCUAUAAUUUGGAACGGAGGGAGUAUUAAACAAACAAGUCUAUAUCUGAGCUAAAUUUUUUUUUGCCCAAACUCAUGUUAAUUAAUAUUUUUUCUACCAAAAAUAAUGUUAGCUAAUCUAUCUGUACGUGCAUACUGCCUCCUGAGGAAGCUCUAAUUAAACCUUUCCCGUUAAACCCACUGCGGAUCAGAUUAGUGCAGAAACUGUUUGAGCCUUGACCGCACCGCAACCCACGGUCUGGCUGGCGCGCCUGCACGACCGCGCGAGACCGAGACCUGGCCGAGGCGGUGGCCGCGCCGCGUCGCGUCGGUUCAACACGACACCCCCAACUCGGAGUCCUCCCUUUCCCCUUCCGGGUUCCGGCGGGCAACUCGUCUUCGUCCCCGAGAGACGGAGGAGGAACCAAACCCUAUCCCGCAGCGGCGGAGAGGGGGGAAGGCCGGGAGAGUGGAGGCGGAUUGGGGUCGAAUGGGGGGGCGAGGGAGGUAGGCCGCAGGCGUCACGAGUUCCCAAACCCCCGCCUCCGCCGGGCUCCUCCUGUGCACUACUACUCUGCAGCGCACGACGCCGCCGGCCUGUUCCUCCCUCCCUCCGCUGAAGCGCCGCCUCCCUUCUUGAUCGGUCUGGUGGACUGGAGUGGAGUGGAGACGCCCCAUCCCUGGAUUGCAUUGGUUUCGAUUGGUUUGGUCUGGUCUCGUCUUCCCCUUUGUUGUCGGUGAGUAAUCCAUCAAUUCGCCCAUCCAUCCUAACCUGCAGCUUGCUUGGAUGCAUUUCUUCUGACGAAUUGGGGUUGCUGUUUCGAUCGCAAUCAGAUCCCGAAUACCUGGGCUGGGGGGUCUCCUAGUCCGCCGCCGUGUCUCCCUCUUCCCCGCGCCACGCCAUGGACGAGGAGGACGACGACCAGCGCCUGCUGCACAGCCUCGGCGUCACCUCCGCCAACAUCGAGGACAUCGAGAAGAAAAUCCUCUCACAGGCAAGAGUCUCGUCUCUUACCCCUCUCACGCCAUCCGUACUCGUCCUGCAGUCCACCAACAAGAACCGUAGUAAUUCCCCGCAAUGUGUAUGAUCUCAAAUUGCGACCUUUAUGUGCUGUGCAGGCUCAAGCUGACCUGAAGAAUGAUACAGAACAAGGAACAACUGCCAAUGACAAUGAGAAGAGUGAUGCCGGCGUGCCUGAGGCUGACACACAGGCCAAGCUGCAUCAGAAGCUGCGCUCCGUGCAGCUCGAGAUCGACGCUGUAGCUUCCACCAUCAAAAGAGCUAAGCAUGCAGCCGGGAAGCAGGUUGACAGCUCGGACAGUGGUGACGCAAAAGAUAAGAAGAAGCAGAAGCAGAAGCAUGCCGAUCAUACAGCUCAGGACGAUCCUCAUGGAGGAGCCCUCCAGCAGGCACUUGCCACCGAGCGCCUUAAGAGCCUCAAGAAAGCUAAAGCUCAGAUUCAGAAAGAGAUAUCGCAGUCGGAUCCCUGCCUGUCGGGCUCGGACAAGCGGAAAGAUAAGAUGCUGGCCAUGCUGGUUGAAGAGGAGCCGAAGCGUAAGAAGAAGACACUAUUGCCGUCUCGAGGGCCUAAGAAGAUGUCGGCACCUAGACUGAAAACCAUGAGUUACAACGAUGACGACGACUUCGACGCAGUGCUUGAUGGGGCAUCUGCAGGAUUUAUGGAAACUGUGAGUUACUAGCCACACAUGGUUCUUAUUUCCUAUCUCACCUGUUGUGUUUCCCUGCCUUAUGAUGGUACACACUUUGCUGUAGGAAAGGGAAGAAUUGAUCAGAAAGGGCUUGCUGACACCGUUUCACAAGUUGAAGGGCUUUGAGAAGCGUGUUGAGCUACCUGGGCCUUCUCAUAUGCAAAAUGAUCCCACUGAUCAAGUCGAAGAAACCAUGGAAGCUUCCAGGAUUGCUAAAUUUGCCCAGUCGAUGCAGCAGAUUGCACAAAGCCGCCCAACAACCAAAUUGCUUGAUCCAGAAUCUUUACCUAAACUUGAUGCACCAACUGCUCCAUUUCAAAGGCUAGGAAGACCUCUAAAACGUCCUGUUUCUCCUAGUUCUGAAGAGCAGGAAAAGAAGAGACGAAGGAAUAAGACCAAGAGGCCCUUGCCUGACAAGAAAUGGAGGAAAGCCAACUCAAACAAGGAAUCACUAUUGGAAACCGACGGUAUGUAUGGCAGUAUGAGUGUGGUUUACAGUGCAUAGGUGCUUUGUUUUUGCUGCUGUUCUGUUUCUGUACACAUAACUGGCGCCAGGCGCAUAAGAAUUUCUUUUUGCUAGUUUUGUUUUUGUAAGUUGCUACUGUGAACUGAGUCUCUCUUCUUUCUACUUAGAUGAGGAUGAUGGGGACAUUGCGGCAUCGGUUUCUGAGGAUGAAGAUCAAGCAGCAGAGGGUUUUGAUGGGUUACCUCCUGUUAUCCUUGAAGGUGGUUUGAGAAUUCCUGGCACAGUUUAUGAUCAGCUAUUUGACUACCAAAAAGUGGGAGUGCAGUGGCUAUGGGAGUUACAUUGUCAAAGGGCUGGUGGAAUUAUUGGAGAUGAAAUGGGCCUAGGGAAGACUGUGCAAGUCUUAACGUUUCUUGGUUCUUUGCAUAACAGUGGCAUGUACAAGCCCAGCAUUGUCAUCUGUCCUGUAACCCUUCUGCAACAGUGGAAAAGGGAGGCCAGUCGAUGGUAUCCGAAGUUUAAAGUGAAAAUCUUACACGAUUCUGCAAAUGGUUCAAAUAAAAAGAGCAAGGCAUAUAGUGAUUCUGACAGUGAAGCCUCUUGGGAUGGUGAUCAGGAAGAGAUUAGACGUGCAAAGCCUGCAAAGAAGUGGGAUGAUUUGAUUUCAAGUGUCGUUAAUUCAGGAUCAGGUUUGCUUUUGACUACAUAUGAGCAGCUAAGAAUCUUAGGGGGGAAGUUGCUUGAUAUAGAAUGGGGAUAUGCUGUGUUGGAUGAGGGUCACCGUAUAAGGAAUCCAAAUGCUGAGAUAACACUGGUGUGCAAGCAACUGCAGACUGUGCACAGGAUAAUCAUGACAGGUGCACCUAUUCAAAAUAAACUUUCUGAACUCUGGUCCCUUUUCGAUUUCGUGUUCCCUGGAAAACUGGGUGUGCUGCCUGUAUUUGAGACUGAAUUUUCUGUGCCAAUUACUGUUGGUGGUUAUGCUAAUGCAACGCCAUUGCAAGUGUCCACAGCAUACAGAUGCGCUGUUGUCCUACGUGAUCUUAUCAUGCCAUACCUUCUUAGGCGCAUGAAAGCUGAUGUCAAUGCACAGCUCCCCAAGAAAACAGAGCAUGUUCUUUUCUGUAGUCUAACUCCUGAGCAGCGUGCUACUUAUCGUGCUUUCCUUGCUAGUUCAGAGGUGGAACAAAUAUUUGAUGGCAAUAGAAAUUCACUGUAUGGGAUAGAUGUCCUAAGGAAGAUAUGCAAUCAUCCUGAUCUACUUGAGCGAGAGCAUGCUGCUCAGAAUCCUGACUAUGGGAAUCCUGAGAGAAGUGGAAAGAUGAAAGUGGUUGAGCAAGUUCUUAGAGUCUGGAAGGACCAAGGCCACCGUGUUCUUCUUUUCACUCAGACUCAACAAAUGCUUGACAUUUUGGAGAACUUCUUGACGGCCUGUGACUACCAAUACCGAAGAAUGGAUGGACUAACGCCUGCAAAACAAAGGAUGGCACUAAUUGAUGAGUUCAAUAACACUGAUGAAAUUUUUGUUUUCAUUCUGACAACAAAAGUUGGUGGACUGGGUACGAAUUUGACUGGUGCAAACAGGAUUAUUAUUUAUGAUCCUGACUGGAAUCCUUCAACAGACAUGCAGGUACCGUUUGUUUGAGUAUUUCAUGUCUAGCUUGUAUGUAUAUUUUUUAAGUGUGCACCUGUUAGCUUUCAACAUUCUUUUUUUUGUGUAUGUAUCAGACCUAGAAAAAUCACUGACAUGAAAAAAUGGAUGCUAGUGAGAAAUGACCUGAUAGAUGAAUAAUUUUGAAUCAGGAUCUUCUGAUGAACUUACAAGCAUAUUCUCCUGUUUAUCAUUUACUAAGCUGUGUUUACAAUUUCAUUUUCCUGUCAUAACGUUCUCUGCAAAUGUGCAGCAUUAUCUGACCAGCACUUACCUUGUGUGAUGUGUAGGCCAGGGAACGUGCAUGGAGAAUUGGGCAAACUAGAGAUGUGACGGUUUACAGGCUGAUCACGCGUGGGACGAUAGAGGAGAAAGUCUAUCAUCGACAGAUAUACAAGCAUUUCCUCACUAACAAAGUACUGAAAAACCCUCAGCAGAGAAGAUUCUUUAAAGCCAGAGACAUGAAGGAUUUAUUCACACUACAAGACGAUGAAGGGAAUGGUUCAACUGAAACAUCAAAUAUUUUCAGUCAGUUGUCUGAAGAUGUGAAUAUUGGGGUUCCAAGUGAAGGUCAACAAGAUCAGGUACAUAUUGCUUCGACAAUGCCAAGCACCAGUGAGGCAGAACCACCUAGUGGAGUGAAAGGGAAGGUGGACGAGAACUCUGACCAAGCAGAUGAAGAAUCAAACAUUUUGAAGUCUCUCUUUGAUGCCCAGGGCAUUCAUGUAAGCAAUACUGUCGCAUCCCUACUGAAAAUUCGAAUCCACAAUGUUUCAGUUUUCUGAACUAACAUCCUGUUUUCUGAACUUGCUCAGAGCGCAAUCAAUCAUGAUGCCAUAAUGAAUGCUAAUGAUGACCAGAAGGUGCGCCUAGAAGCAGAGGCCUCACAGGUAGCACAAAGGGCAGCUGAAGCUUUACGUCAAUCUCGGAUGCUCAGAAGCCGUGACAGCUUUGCUGUUCCCACAUGGACUGGAAGAUCUGGUGCUGCUGGGGCACCCUCCUCUGUUCGCAGGAAGUUUGGGUCCACAGUCAACAGCCAGUUGAUCAGUUCGUCACAGCCACCAGAAACUUCAAGCAGCAGGAGCCAAAGUCUUCCGGUGGGUGCUCUAAAUGGCAAGGCGAUGUCGUCUGCGGAACUUUUGGCCAAGAUUCGUGGAACCCGAGAGGGGGCUGCUUCAGAUGCAUUGGAGCAUCAACUCAAUGGAGGAUCAAGUUCGAAUCACGUAUUGGGUCCAUCUGGGAACAGCGGCCGCUCAUCUAACUCUUCUAACCCAAGCAUGAUCGUGCAACCUGAAGUCCUGAUCCGUCAGUUGUGCACAUUCAUACAGCAGAACGGUGGGUCUGCCAGCUCCACGAGCAUAACGGAACACUUCAAGAGCCGCAUACAGUCAAAGGAUAUGCUUCUCUUCAAGAACCUGCUGAAAGAGAUAGCGACUUUGCAAAGAGGCGCGAACGGUGCCAUGUGGGUGCUGAAACCUGAUUACGAGUGAUGGUAGACGUAGUUCACAGGAGCAAAAUUUUGGCCUAGGAGUCAUUUUCGAUAGAGGAUCUUUUUUUUUCAAUCGUUAUUGGUGGCUGACGGAUUAUUUUUGUAAGGAAUAUCUUAACAGGAAGAAAUAUUAGGAGAUGAAAUACAAGAAUAGGAAUCUUCACGGCUAGUCUGUAUAGUGGAGUACAGUGUGUUUGCGGGUGUUGUACCCUGAUGCAGCGGUCUCGAACGUUGGUCAUUGGGUGGCAUGCUGUGCUCUUCUUUUUCCUGGUGCUAGUUUUUGCAACAGUUUCGAGCAUCUGAAAUGGUCGUGUGUAUUUGUUUUCGUUCCCUUGAAAAAGAUCAAGAUAUGAACGUUCGCCAGCACAUAUAUGUCCACCGAAACCGUGCUAUUUUUUUUACAAGUUAAAUUUCUCUGCAGUGCCAGUGAUAGAUUAGGAAUCUACAGAAGAAAGUUACAUGCAAACGCCAUCUGGGGAAAAAGAGGAAAAUGAUUGAUGACAAAGUUAACGGUCUGUAAUCCUCCUCUCCUGAGAGAUGGUACUAGGCCACAGACAGCCACAGCCUUGCCUUCCAGUUUCUCUCGAACCAAAGCUUGCACCAUGGACCCAACGGUGUACAACCAUUAACUUCAGCUCGAGAUGGAAGACACGGCCGGUGUUUCUAUAAAAAGUUUACCAUUUAAGCAGCACGUUAUUUCCUGUGCUCUCUGUCUGCGUGACGCUGGUGGAUUCGACGUUGCAGCUUCUUCCAUGGCCGCGUGAUGAACAUGGCGAGGCAUUAUUGAUGCAAUGAUGCCUCGGCUCCUCUGAUUCUUGCGGACAAGGACGGCGGAACCAGGUCCUGGUUUGAUUUGAUCCGUGUGAGCGGACAUGAAGAGCAGAUUCUGAUCCGACCUGAUAGCACUUUACUAGAGAUUAAACAAUGGCAUUACAAGCUAGGGUUCUGACACGAUUGAACGCCGGCAACACUGGAUUCCUAUUUUUAUCAUCAGAAUAGUUGGAUAAGCGUUCUAUUUUUUUUAAAAACAGCGUUCUAUUUUUUGUGGUCAACAACUUUUCAUAACUGAAUUUCAGUUAGUACUCCCUCCGUUCCAAAUUAUAAGUCAUUCUAACUUUGUUGAAUAGUCAAAUUAUUUUAUGUUUGAUCAAAAUUAUAGAGAGGAUCACAAAAAUUUAUAGCACAGUAUCAUGAAUGUUACUUUAUUGUAUAAAUUUGAUCAAACAAAUUUGAUCAAACUUAAGAUACGUUAACUCUCCGAGAAAAUUAAAAUAACUUAUAAUUUGGAACAGAGGAAGUACUAAGUGGUGUGCGACUAAUCCCAAGCAACUGCAUCACCUUCUACAGGGUACACAGCCUGAAAGCGCCCAAACCGGUUGAGCUGGAUAUUUGUGUCAGGCGGGUAAAAUUGAGGCUACCAGCAAGCGCUCUAAGGGGUGUUUGAAUCCCAGAGCUAAAGUUUAGUCCGUGUCAUAUCAGAUAUUCGGAUGCUAAUUAGGAAGACUAAAACUAAUUGCAGAACAUCUAGGCUAAAUCGCGAGAUGAAUCUAUUAAGCCUAAUUAAUCCGUCAUUAGCAAAUAUUUACUGUAGCACCAUAUUGUCAAAUCAUGGACUAAUUAGGCUUAAUAGAUUCAUCUCACGAUUUAGCUUAGGGGUUAUGAAGUUGAUUUUGUAAUUAGCCUAUAUUUAAUAGACCCAAUUAGUAUCAAGCAUUCGAUGUGACAGGAGGUAAGCAGUCCGGGAUCCAAACACCCUAAGGACUUCUCCGGUGGCUUUUUGAAAGCGGUGCAUAGACCAAGGCACCAAGUUAGCAGAGAAUGAUUCGAUUCAUUUCCACUAGAGGACAACAAAUCUUUGCACAGAUGAAACGUGUGACUAAAAGUUAACAGAUACGGUGGUAGGAGUAUCACCACCACCAGUAUACCAUAUAUUUUUCUUCAUCCUUAGUUUCUACAAACAGGCACAGCUGACACGACCCCCAAGACAUGCACACAUGACACAUCCUUUGGUCUUGCUUGACUGCUGUUAUUCUAGUACGUACGCUAGCUCCCCCUCUACACCGUAAGCAUCAUCCGCUACACAUACGUACACAGCACGGAUCGACCAAUUCAUUUUGUGGAUAGAUGGAUGGAUCAGGCUUCAGGGUGCGCCAAAUCCCUGGAGACGCCGGCCUGGUACGGCUCCUCGCAGAACUCGCCGCCGAGGUCGUCGCACGCCUCGCCGGGGAACACCCUGCAGUUCAGUCCAUUCGCCACACACAAUUAGUCGCCACCCAGUGGAAUUUAAAAGAUCAAUUAAUGCAAGAAUGAACGGUGUGCUUGCUCACGUUUUGGGCUCGUCGUAGGACACGUAGUCCCUCUCCACCUCCUCCUGCCUCCUGGUCGCGGCGUCCGCCGCCGCAGAGGCGGCGAGCCUAGCCUCCGGGUACAUCUGCCCGCUGCAGGCGUCGCCGCCGAACAGCUCGCAGGCUUCCAUGGGGAACACCCUGCAACACCACAUGAUCCGUGUCAUAUACUCAUCUAGCAACCAAAUCAAGCAAGAGCUCAAAACAUCGAGGGACCUCGGGGGCUUGCACACUUACGAGGAGCUCGAGCUGUAGUCGACCUCGGCAGGUUCGGCCGCGGAGACGGCGACUGCGGCGGCACGGAAGCUCCUCCGGAGGACAAUGCGAACCGCCG
rnacentral:lncRNA from 1 species